UAGUGCCUAAAUGGUUAGAGUGUCUGCCUCAGAUGCAUACGGUUGUGGGUUCAAACCCCAGCCAGGUCAC